CCAGGGUCUGGCCCCCACCCAGGCGGUUCCCUGGCAGCCGGAGGCCCUUCAGUGUGGAGUUGCCCUUCAUAGCAGCAACCAUCUCAGGCAGAAAUUGGGCUGGGCGCUUCUCAAACAGACGGCAGAAGGAGAAGGUAACCAGCAAACUGAUGUCUGCUGUUUUGGGCUAUGCCCACAAGAAGCAUCAGUCGGGACAGUCACAAAAUUUAGAAGAUAACAGUAUGGUGAGGCACCAUGUGGCUACCAGCUGAAUGACAGGCCCAGACAGUAGAAGGUCUCUGGAUUUCUGGGUUCUGAGUAGUUUUCUGAAGAAACUGGCCUUGAAGGAAGUAAGUUUUGGAUAGAGGGAGAAGACAUAGUCAAGAGUCACAGUGAGCUGGGAGUGGGGGCUCACGCCUGUAAUCUCAGCACUUUGGCAGGCCAAGGUGGGCAGAUCACUCGAGGCCAGGAGUUUGAGACCAGCCUGGCCAAUAUGGUGAAACCCUGUCUCUAAUAAAAAUACAAACAUUAGCUGGGCAUGGUGGUGUGCGCCUGUAAUCCCAGCUACUAAGGCAGUACCCAGGAAGGGGAGGUUGCACUGAGCUGAGAUCUCAUCAUCACACUCCAGCCUGGGUGACAGAAUAAGACUCCAUGUCAAAGACAACUAUAGAGGUCACCAGGAGUGAGAACAUGAAUGACCCAUAAGUAAAAUUAAGCAGUAUUGUGAGAGAAAGCCAUUGAAAGGUGUUUGCAUGAAUGAAUGACAGGGUGAGACUGCAUUUUUGAAAGAAUGCGUGGGCUGCAGUGCAGACAGUGGAUUGUAUGGCAAGAGUAAGGAGUGUGGAGGAACUGCUGAAAUGAGUUCAGGUAGGGAGUAAUAGCUUGAAUUAAGGAUGUGGAGAUAGAGAAAUAAAUGGAUUUAACAAAUUGUAAAGAUAGGGCUGUGUGUAGUGGCUUACGACUAUUAUCUCAGCACUGUAGGAGGCGGAGGUGGGCAGGCCACUUGAGGCCAGAAGUUGGAGAUGAGCCUGGCCUACAUGGGGAAACCCUGUCCCCCCUAAAAAUACAAAACUAGCGUCGUGUGGUAGUGCAUGCUUGUACUUCUAGGUGGUUGAACGGCUGAGGCAUGAGAAUUGCUUGAACCCAGAAGGUAGAGGUUGCAGUGAGCUGAGAUUGCACCACUGGACUCCAGCCUGGGUGACAGCAACGCUUUGUCUCAAGAAAACAUAAAGAUAGGACCUCAUGAGUAAAUGUAUGUAGUAAUACAGAAUACAGGUUUCUUUGGGCAAGUGAGUAAGCUGAUGUCACUGAGAACAGAAGGAUUAGUAUAGUGUGAAGGUGCAUUCAAGUUGGAUAUAAUCGGCGGGGCUUGUGGGUUAUGAAGUGGUUAUGUCUAUUAGCUGGAUAAAUUAGUCUGGAAGUUCAAGAGAAAGAUCUGGGGUAAUGUCACAUUAGUCUUUAGCAUAGUUGACCUUUGAAACCACAGAAAUUGAUGAAAUUGUUCAGGAAGAGUGCAUAAAGUGCGAAAGCUCUGAGGAACUCUGAACAAGCAGAGAAAGGAGAAAACUUUUUUUUUUUGAGAUGGAGUCUCACUCUGUUGCCCAGGCGAGAGUGCAGUGCCACAAUCUCGGUUCACUGUAAACUCCACCUUCUGGGUUCAAGCAAUUCUCUGCUUUAGCCCCCCAAGUAGCUGGGAUUACAGGUACUCACCACCACGCCUGGCUAAUUUUUGUAUUUUUAGCAAAGACAGUGUUUUACCAUCUUGGCCAGGCUGGUCUUGAACUCCUGACCUCGUGAUCCAACUGCCUUGGCCAAGUGCUGGGAUUACAGUUAUGAGCCACUGUGCUCAGCCAAGAAAAUAUUUUUUAAGGUUGUGAAAAAAAAAUUUCAUAGCAGUAAAUGCUGCCAAGAAGAGUUACUGAAAAGUAUACACUGGACUGAGUAACGAGGAGGACCAGGCUGGAAGGGGCUGUGAGAGAAGUGGAAACAGUACAGAUGACUAAGAUUGUAAAGAAUAGGAGAUAAUAGAGCAGUUUGUUAAUAUGCCAUAUAGGGAGGUGGUGGUGGCAGUUUUUGGUGGAGACCUGUUAAAAUGCUGGUAGGAGAGUGGAAAGGAGAGGGUAGUAUAAACAGUGGUUUGAAAGCAUGGAUCUGCAGUCUGGUUGCCUGGUUUGAAUCCUGGCUGUGUAAUUGCGAGGUUACCCUGAGGAAAUCACUUGCCCUCAUAGGGUUGUAAGGAUUAAAUUAUUAGAUUGAAUUAUCAAGAAUACUAAAAAUAUGCCAGACAUAUACUAAGUAGUAUAUAAAAAGUAUCAGUUUGAGAAGCAAGCUUCCCUAAGAAAUUGGGAUGCUUCUUUCUCAAACUAAUAAUUCUUAUAUACUUCAUUGUGAAGCUCUAUGCAUCUAGAGCACAGGUGGGAGAAUUAGCCUUAGAAAGGAUGGUGAUCUCUUCCAUUCUGGUGAAGGAUGAGUGCAGUUGAAGGAGAGUUUAUAGGCUGCUUAGCAAGCUGAAGAAACUCAUGUGAUGGCUUCUAUUUUCUCUGUGAAGUAGGUGAGGUCAUCCCUGAGAAGGGAAAAGGAGGAAGGGUUUGGAAGUGGUAGGAAUAGGAGCUGAUGUUACAAGCACAGUGAGGGUUCAUAUGAGGUUAAUGAUCAUGAAUGUAUAGUAACACUAAUUUGCAUAGUUGUAUGAUUUUUCUCUAGCAGUACUCAGCAACCUAGGCAGAUUGCUGGAUUUAGCCAGAGUUGAGGUUUUCCUAGCUGGGCACAAGCAGGAGGGAAAUGGGGACUGAGGAUUGCUUGCAGGUUGUUGGUCUGAUAAAAAAUUGUGUCCUGGUCAGGCACGGUGCCUCACGCCUAUAAUCCCAGCACUUUGAGAGACCGAGGUGGGUGGAUCACAAAGUCAAGAGAUCAAGACCAUCCUGGUCAACAUGGUGAAACCCCGUCUCUACUAAAAAUACAAAAAAAUUAGCUGGGCAUGGUGGUGUGUGCCUAUAGUCCCAGCUACUUGGGAAGCUGAGGCAGGUGAAUCACUUGAACCCAGGAGGCGGAGGUGGCAGUGAGCCAAGAUUGUGCCAUCGCACUCCAGCCUGGGUAACAAGAGCGAAACUCCGUCUCAAAAAAAAAAAAAAAAAUUGUGUCCCACACCCAGUCUGGACAGUUGCUCUGAUAUGACUGGUGAGGUGGUGAGGUCAAACUCUAGCCCUGCCUGGGCAUGCAUGUACUAUACUUCUCCCACCUGCCCUUGGAUUGCCUUCUGUAUCUAAACUGUAUUCAUUCUUUAGAUUCCAGCUGGCUCAUCUCUGCCCCCUCAGGAACCCCUGCUCUCAACAAUUAAUCAAGCCUAUAGACUAUGUUCCUCUCUUAUAGCACUGACAGUCUCCCCUUCUGUGAGGCAUACAAGUCUUCCUCUCCAGCUUCCUGAUCAUACACCCAAUUUGUUCCUCCCAUCUCCCCAGAAUUAGGCACACAGCUAGUGCUGCUGAGGAAUCCAAACCCAAUCCCCGCCACUCCAGGAUGCUCACCAUUGUAGGAGAGUGUAAGGCUCUCCAGUGACACCCAGGAGCUCAGCAGGUGGCAUAGUGUCAGGGCUGCCUCUGUGGAGAGUGGAACCGUGAAUAGCUCCAAGGUGGAGAUGCUGCGGAAUCGUUGUGAAGCUUCCAGGGCUGGAAGCCCCAGGCAGCUGGGAUCUGAUCCAUCCAGAGCUCCACAAGCCACUUCCCCAAUCUCCAUCUCUUCGCCAUCCUCCUUUUCACCAGCCACAAUAAAAACAAAGUCAUACA